rnacentral:rRNA from 1 species
AGAGCGAACGCUGGCGGCGUGCUUAACACAUGCAAGUCGAGUGCGCGCCUGUAGCAAUACAGGUGGCGCACGGCGCACGGGUGCGUAACACGUGGGUAAUCUGCCCUUCGAAGGGGAAUAACUCGCCGAAAGGCGAGCUAAUUCCGCAUAACAUUCCGAGGACUUUGGUUUCGGAUUCAAAGGCGUAAGUCGUCGGAGGAGGAGCCCGCGCACGAUUAGCUAGUUGGUGAGGUAAUGGCUCACCAAGGCUAUGAUCGUUAGCUGGU